rnacentral:rRNA from 1 species
AUUGAACGCUGGCGGCAGGCCUAACACAUGCAAGUCGAGCGGAUGAGUGGAGCUUGCUCCAUGAUUCAGCGGCGGACGGGUGAGUAAUGCCUAGGAAUCUGCCUGGUAGUGGGGGACAACGUUUCGAAAGGAACGCUAAUACCGCAUACGUCCUACGGGAGAAAGUGGGGGAUCUUCGGACCUCACGCUAUCAGAUGAGCCUAGGUCGGAUUAGCUAGUUGGUGAGGUAAAGGCUCACCAAGGCGACGAUCCGUAACUGGUCUGAGAGGAUGAUCAGUCACACUGGAACUGAGACACGGUCCAGACUCCUACGGGAGGCAGCAGUGGGGAAUAUUGGACAAUGGGCGAAAGCCUGAUCCAGCCAUGCCGCGUGUGAAGAAGGUCUUCGGAUUGUAAAGCACUUUAAGUUGGGAGGAAGGGCAGUAAGUUAAUACCUUGCUGUUUUGACGUUACCAACAGAAUAAGCACCGGCUAACUUCGUG